rnacentral:rRNA from 1 species
UACGGAGGAUCCAAGCGUUAUCCGGAAUCAUUGGGUUUAAAGGGUCCGUAGGCGGUCUUAUAAGUCAGUGGUGAAAUCUCUCCGCUCAACGGGGAAACGGCCAUUGAUACUGUAAGACUUGAAUUAUUGGGAAGUAACUAGAAUAUGUAGUGUAGCGGUGAAAUGCUUAGAUAUUACAUGGAAUACCGAUUGCGAGGGCAGGUUACUACCAAUGGAUUGACGCUGAUGGACGAAAGCGUGGGGAGCGAACAGG